rnacentral:rRNA from 1 species
GUGGGGAAUUUUUCGCAAUGGGGGAAACCCUGACGAAGCAACGCCGCGUGGAGGAUGAAGGCCUUCGGGUCGUAAACUCCUGUCGACUGGGAAGAAUGCACCUGACCUAAUACGUCGGCGUGUUGACUGUACCGGUGGAGGAAGCCACGGCUAACUCUGUGCCAGCAGCCGCGGUAAUACAGAGGUGGCAAGCGUUGUUCGGAAUUACUGGGCGUAAAGGGCGCGUAGGCGGCCCGUCAAGUCCCGUGUGAAAGCCCCCGGCUCAACCGGGGAACUGCACGGGAAACUAGCAGGCUUGAGUUCGGGAGAGGGAAGCGGAAUUUCGGGUGUAGCGGUGAAAUGCGCAGAUAUCCGAAGGAACACCGGUGGCGAAGGCGGCUUCCUGGACCGACACUGACGCUGAGGCGCGAAAGCUAGGGGAGCAAACGGGAUUAGAAACCCGUGUAGUCC